rnacentral:rRNA from 1 species
UACGAAGGGGGCUAGCGUUGUUCGGAAUUACUGGGCGUAAAGCGCGCGCAGGCGGCUUGGUAAGUUGGGGUGAAAUCCCUGGGCUCAACCCAGGAAUGGCCUUCAAGACUGCUUGGCUGGAGGACGAGAGAGGUGAGUGGAAUUCCCAGUGUAGAGGUGAAAUUCGUAGAUAUUGGGAAGAACACCGGUGGCGAAGGCGGCUCACUGGCUCGUUUCUGACGCUGAGGCGCGAAAGCGUGGGGAGCAAACAGG